rnacentral:rRNA from 1 species
AUUGAACCCUGGCGGCAUGCUUUACACAUGCAAGUCGAACGGUAACAGGCCUUCGGGUGCUGACGAGUGGCGCACGGGUGAGUAAUGCAUCGGAACGUACCCAGAGGUGGGGGAUAACGCAGCGAAAGCUGUGCUAAUACCGCAUGUGAUCUGAGGAUGAAAGCGGGGGACCGAGCAGCAAUGUUUGGCCUCGCGCCUUUGGAGCGGCCGAUGUCGGAUUAGCUAGUUGGUGAGGUAAAGGCCUACCAAGGCGACGAUCCGUAGCUGGUCUGAGAGGACGACCAGCCACACUGGGACUGAGACACGGCCCAGACUCCUACGGGAGGCAGCAGUGGGGAAUUUUGGACAAUGGGCGCAAGCCUGAUCCAGCAAUGCCGCGUGCGGGAAGAAGGCCUUCGGGUUGUAAACCGCUUUUGGCAGGAACGAAACGGUGUCCGCUAAUACCGGGCGCUAAUGACGGUACCUGCAGAAUAAGCACCGGCUAACUACGUG